rnacentral:rRNA from 1 species
GACGAACGCUGGCGGCGUGCUUAACACAUGCAAGUCGAACGGACAGGCCCUGCUUUUGUGGGGUGCUCGAGUGGCGAACGGGUGAGUAACACGUGAGUAACCUGCCCUUGACUUUGGGAUAACUUCAGGAAACUGGGGCUAAUACCGGAUAGGAGCUCCUGCUGCAUGGUGGGGGUUGGAAAGUUUCGGCGGUUGGGGAUGUACUCGCGGGUUAUCAGCUUGUUGGGAAGGUAGCGGGUUACCAAGGCUUUGAUGGGUAGGCGACCUGUGAGGGUGAGCGGCCACACUGGAACUGAGGCACGGUCCAGACUCCUACGGGAGGCAGCAGUAGGGAAUCUUCCGCAAUGGGCGAAAGCCUGACGGAGCGACGCCGCGUGAGUGAUGAAGGUCUUCGGAUCGUAAAACUGUGUUAUUAGGGAAGAACAAAUGUGUAAGUAACUAUGCACGUCUUGACGGUACCGGAUCAGAAAGCCACGGCUAACUACGUG